GUGGGGAAUUUUGGACAACGGGCGCAAGCCUGAUCCAGCAAUGCCGCGUGCAGGAAGAAGGCCUUCGGGUUGUAAACUGCUUUUGUACGGAACGAAACAGUCCUGGCUAAUAUCCGGGGCUAAUGACGGUACCGUAAGAAUAAGCACCGGCUAACUACGUGCCAGCAGCCGCGGUAAUACGUAGGGUGCGAGCGUUAAUCGGAAUUACUGGGCGUAAAGCGUGCGCAGGCGGUGCUGUAAGACAGGCGUGAAAUCCCCGGGCUCAACCUGGGAAUUGCGCUUGUGACUGCAGUGCUGGAGUGCGGCAGAGGGGGAUGGAAUUCCGCGUGUAGCAGUGAAAUGCGUAGAUAUGCGGAGGAACACCGAUGGCGAAGGCAAUCCCCUGGGCCUGCACUGACGCUCAUGCACGAAAGCGUGGGGAGCAAACAGGAUUAGAUACCCUUGUAGUCC
rnacentral:rRNA from 1 species